rnacentral:tRNA from 1 species
GGAGAGUUGGCAGAAUUGGCUAUUGCACCGGUCUUGAAAACCGGCGCCCGAAAGGGCUUGGGGGUUCGAGUCCCUCACUCUCCG